GACGUAGGGUGCGAGCGUUGUCCGGAUUUAUUGGGCGCAAAGAGCUCGUAGGCGGCUCGUCGCGUCUGUUGUGAAAGCCCGGGGCUUAACCCCGGGUCUGCAGUGGAUACGGGCAGGCUAGAGGCAGGUAGGGGAGAACGGAAUUCCCGGUGUAGCGGUGAAAUGCGCAGAUAUCGGGAGGAACACCGGUGGCGAAGGCGGUUCUCUGGGCCUGUACUGACGCUGAGGAGCGAAAGCGUGGGGAGCGAACAGG
rnacentral:rRNA from 1 species